rnacentral:rRNA from 1 species
UGCAAGAUCGCUUCUUCACUUGUGUUGAACUUCAUUCCGUACACAGCUCCUUAUUCAGGCUUACAACCGGAACUCAUGACUUAUCUGGUACAGGGAUACCAAAGUCAAAGGCAGUGAUAAUACCUGAACUCUUAAGGAUGUAGAGCAAUCUAUAUCUGAGUGGGAAGGAACUUAUGAGCUAGCCUUCUGUUACUAUGGAGUGAUCCAUAGUUUGCUAACCCAUUUAGGGGACUGGUGGCGGUUUUGCCGCUUAUCAGUCUGUAGCGUGCCUCUGUUACACUCCAGAUAGUUACGAGUACGGGGGAUUAGUGUUCAAAUCCGGAGAAGGAGCCUGAGAAACGGCUACUGGUACUAAGGUGUACAGCAGGCGCGAAACUUGCCCAAUGAUAGCUCGCUAUCGAGGCAGUGAUAAGAAAUAAGCACCUUCUCUUUUGAGAAGGGUACAUUGUGCAUUAUGCGCAUGUUAACAAUGGUAAGGUUAUAGCAACGCCUUAGAGGAACAAUCAGAGGGAAAGUCAGGUGCCAGCAUCCGCGGUAAUACCUGCUCUGAGUGUCUAUGAUAACGUUGCUGCGGUUAAAACGUUCGUAGCUUACAUAGGGAAUAGUUGGUUGAUGUCAAGUUUUCAGCAUGUCUUGAAUCUUCAGUUUUAGCUGGGAAACAGGAUAACCUUAGGGUGACCCUUGUGGUUUGUCUGAGUUCUUUCUGCAGCACUCCAUUCCAGUUACUUAUCCUUAAGGAAUUGGUAUUGGUUUUUGCUGUGGCAUCACCAAUUACUCCAAAUCCCUCUUUCCCGUGAGCAAAUCAAAGUGAUCAAGGCACGAUUUGUUGGUUGUCUCUCUCUUUUGAGAGAGUUCAGCCUAUGAUGUAAAAUGUUCCAGCACGGAACCUAUUAUACCAACAGUUUUGGCUGUUGGAUCAGAAAACGAAGCCAGAUUCAAGUGAGUUGUACUUACUGAUCAGGGGUGAAAUCCGUAUAGUCAGUAAAGACGAACGGAGGCGAAAGCUACUCACUAGGACUGAUUUGUCGGUGAGGGUCGAGAGUCAAGGGAGCAAAGAUGAUUAGAUACCGUCGUAGUCUUGACCGUAAACGAUCCAGGCAAGUUUUGGGAAAGAACCUUUAGCCAGAUCUUAUCCAGAGUCCCGGGAAACCCUUAGCUUUCGUGGUCCGGGGGGAGUAUGCUCGCAAGGGUGAAACUUAAAGGAAUUGACGGAAACUUACCACCAGGAGUGGAUUCUGCGGCUUAAUUCGACUCAACACGUGGAAACUUACCAGGUCCAGAUUGUAGGAAGAUUGACAAGCUACAGACUUUUCUUGAUUGACAAAACAGUGGUGCAUGGUCGUUCUAAGUUCGUGGAUUGGUCUGUCUGCUUAAUUGCGAUAACGAGCGAGAUCUUAGUUGCUACUUGGUAGCUGUUAACCUAUUGGUUACAGGAGUUAUGGUAAAGCGCCAUUUAUUGGUUGCUAAGCCUCCUCAUAGCAAGACUUCUGGCGAUCUUUUUUCCAGUUUUAGGGAUGGUGAAGGCUAGAACAGAUCCGUUAUGCCCUUAGAUGUUCUGGGCGGCACGCGUAAUACAAUGCUAUGUUCAUUAGGCCUGUACUUGGAGCAGCAAUGUUCUGAGAGCAUACCUAACUGGAAAUAGUAAGGAAAACCACGCAAUACCUUCGUAAAUCUGGGAUAGUGGCUUGCAAGUUCCACUUCAACCAGGAAUUCCUAGUAAGCGAAGUUCAACAUACUAC